GACGAAGGGGGCUAGCGUUGUUCGGAAUUACUGGGCGUAAAGCGCGUGUAGGCGGUUGUUCAAGUCAGGUGUGAAAGCCUUGAGCUCAGCUCAAGAAAUGCACUUGAUACUGGAUGACUAGAGGACCGGAGAGGAUAGUGGAAUUCCCAGUGUAGUGGUGAAAUACGUAGAGAUUGGGAAGAACACCAGUGGCGAAGGCGGCUAUCUGGACGGUUUCUGACGCUAAGACGCGAAAGCGUGGGGAGCAAACAGG
rnacentral:rRNA from 1 species